GGACUACAGGGGUAUCUAAUCCCUUUUGCUCCCCACGCUUUCGUGCCUGAGCGUCAGUAAUUGUCCAGGAAGCUGCCUUCGCCAUUGGUGUUCCUCACGAUAUCUACGCAUUUCACUGCUACACCGUGAAUUCCGCUUCCCUCUCCAAUACUCUAGCCAUGUAGUUUCCGGCGCAAUUCCGGGGUUAAGCCCCGGGAUUUCACACCAGACACACAUGGCCGCCUGCGCACCCUUUACGCCCAGUGAAUCCGAAUAACGCUUGCAGUCUCUGUAUUACCGCGGCUGCUGGCAC
rnacentral:rRNA from 1 species